rnacentral:rRNA from 1 species
UACGUAGGGGGCAAGCGUUGUCCGGAAUGACUGGGCGUAAAGCGCGCGCAGGCGGUCUUUUAAGUCUGAGGUGAAAGGCUGGGGCUCAACCCUGGCAUCGCCUUGGAAACGGGAAGACUUGAGGACUGGAGAGGCAAGGGGAAUUCCACGUGUAGCGGUGAAAUGCGUAGAGAUGUGGAGGAAUACCAGUGGCGAAGGCGCCUUGCUGGACAGUGCCUGACGCUGAGGCGCGAAGGCGUGGGGAGCAAACAGGAUUAGAUACCCUGGUAGUCCACGCGGUAAACGAUGAGUGCUAGGUGUCGGAGGGUACCACCUCCGGUGCCGAAGGAAACCCAAUAAGCACUCCGCCUGGGGAGUACGGUCGCAAGACUGAAACUCAAAGGAAUUGACGGGGGCCCGCACAAGCAGUGGAGCAUGUGGUUUAAUUCGAAGCAACGCGAAGAACCUUACCAGGGCUUGACAUCCCCCUGACGGGCCGAGAGAUCGGUCGUCCCUUCGGGGCAGGGGAGACAGGUGGUGCAUGGUUGUCGUCAGCUCGUGUCGUGAGAUGUUGGGUUAAGUCCCGCAACGAGCGCAACCCUUGAUCAGUGUUACCAGCACGUAGUGGUGGGGACUCACUGAUGACUGCCGGUGACAAACCGGAGGAAGGCGGGGAUGACGUCAAAUCAUCAUGCCCCUUAUGUCCUGGGCCACACACGUGCUACAAUGGGCGGUACAACGGGAAGCAAGAGAGCGAUCUGGAGCGAAACCCUAAAAGCCGUUCGUAGUUCGGAUUGCAGGCUGCAACCCGCCUGCAUGAAGCCGGAAUUGCUAGUAAUCGCGGAUCAGCAUGCCGCGGUGAAUCCGUUCCCGGGCCU